UACGUAGGGCGCUAGCGUUGUCCGGAAUCAUUGGGCGUAAAGCGCGUGUAGGCGGUCCGGUAAGUCCGCUGUGAAAGUCGGGGGCUCAACCCUCGGAUGCCGGUGGAUACUGUCGGGCUUGAGUACGGAAGAGGCGAGUGGAAUUCCUGGUGUAGCGGUGAAAUGCGCAGAUAUCAGGAGGAACACCAAUUGCGAAGGCAGCUCGCUGGGACGUUACUGACGCUGAGGUGCGAAAGCGUGGGGAGCAAACAGG
rnacentral:rRNA from 1 species